rnacentral:rRNA from 1 species
AACGAACGCUGGCGGCAUGCCUAACACAUGCAAGUCGAACGAGACCUUCGGGUCUAGUGGCGCACGGGUGCGUAACGCGUGGGAACCUGCCCUUAGGUUCGGAAUAACUCCCCGAAAGGGGUGCUAAUACCGGAUAAUGUCUUCGGACCAAAGAUUUAUCGCCUUUGGAUGGGCCCGCGUUGGAUUAGCUAGUUGGUAGGGUAAAAGCCUACCAAGGCGACGAUCCAUAGCUGGUCUGAGAGGAUGAUCAGCCACACUGGGACUGAGACACGGCCCAGACCCCCACGGGGGGGAGGCGUGGGGAAUAUUAGGCGAUGGGGCGAAACCCUGUCCCGCCAUGGCGGGGUGGUGGUUAAGGGCUUUGGGUUGUAAAGCCGCUUUUCCCGGGAUGAUAAUGACAGUACCGGGAGAAUAAGCUCCGGUUAACUCCGUG